CUUUAGGUGAGCUUAUUGCUACCCAUCUACGUUCAUUUGUAUGCUGGAACAGUCUGACGAGCCUCCUGUUGUUCCCAGUACAAUUUGUGUCAGCCAACCAGGCAGAAGAACAGAGGGAGUACAGACAUCUCAGGACUAAGACCAAGACAGAGAGACUCCAAACCAGUGAUUUGAGAGCCCCGCGACGCAGCCUGCUACAGGAACGGGGACUUCUCUGGAACACUGGCGUGCGCAGGGAUUAAUCCCGCCGUAGAGAGCCAGCCUGGCCUUUGAAGUGUUACAAGGGAAAGGAGGAGGUAAGUGUCGAGGCGAGCCCCCAGCCCCCCUCCCCGCCCCCGGGCAGCGUGCGGCGGCCCGCAAAGGGUUAAAGGCCGCCUUGGCCCGGCGGUGCCGUG
rnacentral:lncRNA from 1 species